rnacentral:other from 16 species
GUUUCAGAUGAACCCUUGUUGGGUUGAAGU